UUGUUCCACAUAAGUGACUUUGAUCCCUCGUUUAUCUAUACGGCAAGCGAGUAUGUCCACUUUCUUGGCUAGGUUUGCCAAUGGAUGAUGAAUGUGAGAGAUGUUCGCUUGCUUAUCAUGGAGAUCAAUAGCCUAGUUCAUAGAAAGAUAGGAUGAGUGUUGUAGAGUUGAGAUUGCAUUCGAGAACUCGACCAUAUUUUCUAGCAUGACAUGC
rnacentral:lncRNA from 1 species